AGAACCUCUGAAACAUUGUGCCAGUUUUGGUAAUGUAUGCACCAAACUAAUCAUCUGCAUAUAUUCCUAGAAAGUAAUCUUCCAAGGUCCUCUCUUGAAAUACCUCUUCAACCAAUUAGAGGGAAAAGACUCUCCAUCUCCCAUGUCCUUUAGUCUGUUUGUUAGGGGAAGAUCUUUGACCUGAAGCAAGCAACCUGACCAAUUGCAGGAUGUAAUAGUGUCUGUGCAACUCUCAGAUGCAUGAUGAACAGCCCUGACGAAGACAUUGAGGUCCCACUGUUGUGUGUCACGGAGGAUGCUGAAAGGAUGAUCACAAACCUACGAGUUUAGAGGAAAGCAUAUAUAUAAAUAGAGUCAAUAGAGGGCACUCCUUCCAUGUGCAAUAAUCUCAGGAAUUUCUCAGUCUCCUCAACUCACA